UCCUGAUCAAAUCAGGGAUCAAACCAUCUCGAUGAUUAGGUCAACUCUUAACCUAAUCGGGUCAAACCCAACUGAAUCUAAUUCAAUUGGACUUGAUCCAAAAAUAAUUACUCAAUCAAAUUAAGUUAACUAGAAAUCAAAUCACUAAUUAAACCUCUCAUAAAUAUUGAGUUCAAAUCCGAUGGGUAAUCGGGCAUCAGAAUUCAUCGAUAUGUAACCCUGAUCGAAGAGUCCCAAACCAGUGGGACUCUUGACCCCGGUACCCAAAAUGUGUGGGACUCAUGAUCAGAGAAUCUUGAUUCUCAAUCACAGAGUCCCAGACACAUAGGACUCAUAGUCCAUGAGUAUUAGGACUCUUCAUCAGCCAUCAGAUCAGAUAGGAACCUCUAAUGUGUGUGACCCUGCAGGUUCGAACCUAAGCCGGUAGCACAGGAACCAAUUCCUGUACUAAUCGAAGUGACCAUCUAGCAAUGGUAUCCGAUGACUGGAUAGG
rnacentral:lncRNA from 1 species